CAACCAUUUCUAAUCGCGCCUGUGCUCGAGAUUCAGGAAGGGCGGCCAUGAUGGUCCCAGAUAGUAAACUUCAACCGAAACGGAAAGUAGAGGAAGAGAAUAGUCUAGUGAAAAGAAAGGAAGUUCAGAAUGAAGCCAGCUAAAAUUACAGUGAAAGAAUCUCCAGAAGAAAGCUGAUCUUCACCUGAAAAUAGAGAAAAGAGAAACUGACAAGGAGACGAACGAAAUUCAAUUUCGCAAGAAUGAAAUCCAUCAUUUAAUGUUAGGCAAGGACGUUCUUUGGAUGAAACAAUGGUUUUAAUUUUGAAGAAAAUAUUGUCCAAGCUUAUAACAAAAUUGUAUAUUACAUACACUGCUUUACUUACAUCGGUGAUCUUCGAUUAAAAUAUAAAAGAAGCGGGAGGUCCACUGCAAAGAUAUAAAAGAAGAAUUCAUGAGCAUUACACUUCAA
rnacentral:misc_RNA from 1 species